rnacentral:tRNA from 1 species
GCCUGGGUGGCUCAGUCGGUUAAGCAUCUGACUUUGGCUCAGGUCAUGAUCUUGUGGUUCGUGGGUUCGAGCCCCGUGUCGGGCG